rnacentral:rRNA from 1 species
UACGGGUGGCUGCAGUGGGGAAUAUUGGACAAUGGGCGAAAGCCUGAUCCAGCCAUGCCGCGUGUGUGAAGAAGGCCUUCGGGUUGUAAAGCACUUUCAGUGGGGAAGAAAGCCUUGGGGCUAAUACCCUCGAGGAAGGACAUCACCCACAGAAGAAGCACCGGCUAACUCCGUGCCAGCAGCCGCGGUAAUACGGAGGGUGCGAGCGUUAAUCGGAAUUACUGGGCGUAAAGCGCGCGUAGGCGGUCUGAUAAGCCGGUUGUGAAAGCCCCGGGCUCAACCUGGGAACGGCAUCCGGAACUGUCAGGCUAGAGUGCAGGAGAGGAAGGUAGAAUUCCCGGUGUAGCGGUGAAAUGCGUAGAGAUCGGGAGGAAUACCAGUGGCGAAGGCGGCCUUCUGGACUGACACUGACGCUGAGGUGCGAAAGCGUGGGUAGCAAACAGGAUUAGAUACCCGAGUAGUC